CGUAGAUCUACCAUAACAUGCGCAGAUAUCAACAAUCAUCUAGGUAUAAUAAACAUACAACAUAAUAGAACAGAAAAACAAAAAGAACGAACUCUUGAAGCGAAGGCGAAGAUGUCUCGAAGAACCUCGGGAGUCCGGUGAAAGCUUUGGCGGAGGUAGCGGCUUCAGAGUAGCGGUAUCCUCUAGGGGUCCUCUCUUCCAAUGAUUGGAUGUCUCUUAUAUAGAGUGAAAAUGGGUAGUCCUUGAAUCAUGAGCUGGCAGAGGUGAAAGGAAUCAUUCUGUUAGAAUUGGAUUUCUCAGAGUUUUGGUGGGGACCAGGGCGAUUGUCACAGAAUCCUUUGUAUGAGGGCAAACCAACCUUGGAAGUUCAUGGAGGAAACAGACUCACAAUUUUCCAAGCUACGUCUUAUCACUCAUGUGAAUCCAAGUUCCCCUGUUGUGAGGCCUUGAUCUCAAACAGGACAUAUGCUCUUGGUUUGCUGCCAGUAAGAAGAUGACCAGCAGGUGACUUGUACAUUUGGAAACGUCUCCAACGCAAGAUUGAUGCCAUUGGUAUGCAUCGCUGAAUUGUUAUUGUCGGUGAUGUUGUAUCUGAUGCAAAAUUUACUGCUGCUGCGAUUUAUUGUGUCAUUGCAAAGAGAGAUGUUGUGAAGCAUUAUCUGUAGAACCAAGGGUGAUGUAUGGUGGAUCUUUUAUUGCCACUGUCAGCCGUGCGGGUCUUCAGAUGCUAGCAUAACAGUUGCGAGUACGAUUGCAUGGAGGAAAUCAAAGGAGUUUGUUGUUUCACUGUGAUGGGUCUCAUGUUGUAGUGAAACUGCAGGUUUGUGUUUUCUUUGGCUUAGCUUCAUGCCUUUCUUGGUUUCUUCAAUGAUGUGCAAUUUUGGAACGUAAAGGUUUGAUAGCCGUUAAAUUCAUCUGGCGCUGUUGACUGACUCUCAGUUUCAAUUUGCAGGUCCUUUUUACUGAGCUGUUAUUUUGUUGGUCUGCAGGUUCAUGGCCAAUCGAGAUAACUUGUUUUAAGCCUGAACUUUUUAGCUGCGGAUUCAAACCUUGUAUAUUUAGUGUUUUGUGCAGGUCAUACUUAAGUGAUGUGAUGAUGAUAUUUGACUCCACAGCCGUUUGAGCUGUUAUGAAUGAUGAGUUUGAUUCAACCUUAUCGAUUUUGCUUUGUCUAAUGGACCUUAUCAUGAAUGCUUUCCACUGGUAUACUUUGUAAUCGGGUGAGCACUUGUGAUAUUGAAUGCAGGUACAUGAAACAUUAAACAUUGAUACAUGAUUUUCGAGUCUUGGCUUUUGUUUCAAUGAAGCGAUAUGUACUGGCCUGUCGCCAGUUCACAUGACGCUAAGCAUAGUAACUUAUUCUUUUACUUAUCUUGAUGUUGCCUCCUGCAAUGGUUUAAACUUCUGUCUUGUUUGAGUUUCCAAACUACAUUGUGCUUUACAAUUUCUUGUAGCCAUUGGAUUUUAUGACUGCUUUGAUUUCUAACUUGAUCAUUUUGCAGGGUCUGAUUCCUCAAAAUAAAAUAUAGGGCAUGUUUGUUUAGUUUGUGGACUUUUGACUUGGACGGUAAUGCAGGCUGGAUUGUUGAAGAUGUUCCUUGUGGUAACAGAGUUGCUUUUGCUGGUUUUGAUCAAUUUAUCACCAAGAAUGCCACUUUGACAAAUGAGAAAGAAGUCGAUGCAUACCUUAUUCGUGCUAUGAAGUUUUCCGUCGCAUGUUGUGUGUGUUGCUGUUUUUUAAUUAUGCAGGUGGCAAUAUGCGUGUGGCUCGUAACCUUUGGGAGAAAAUAGCACAAGGAGUUUGUUGCGGUCAAUAUACCCGCUGUUUCCAGCUUGACAUGAAGUUAUGUAUUUGGAUCAUAGGCUAGGACUUUCCCUUUGGCAAUUUGCAAACAGUUGUAACUCAUAUUUGUAAAAUGUAUGAUUAAGCGGUGGAAUUAUUACGUAUGGACGUGUAUGUAUGA